UCGAUCCUAUUGUGUUGGC
rnacentral:siRNA from 1 species